UGGUUCUCUAGGGAGCAUGUGCACACCUUGUCAUCUUUAUAUCUCCACCUGUGCACUUUUUGUAGACCUUUCAGGUCUAUGUUGCUUCAUUUACCCCAAUGUAUGUUAAUAGAAUGUUGUGCCUAUAUAAUAUAUACAACUUUCAGCAACGGAUCUCUUGGCUCUCGCAUCGAUGAAGAACGCAGCGAAAUGCGAUAAGUAAUGUGAAUUGCAGAAUUCAGUGAAUCAUCGAAUCUUUGAACGCACCUUGCGCUCCUUGGUAUUCCGAGGAGCAUGCCUGUUUGAGUGUCAUUAAUAUAUCAACCUUCUCUUUUUUGAGUUGUUUGGAUGUGGGGGUUUGCUGGCUUCUUAAAUGAUUCAGCUCCCCUGAAAUGCAUUAGCAGAACAACCUGUUCAUUGGCGUGAUAAUUAUCUAUGCUAUUGAAUGUGAGGGCAGUUCAGCUUUCUAACCGUCCUCGGACAAUUCAUCAUUAAUGUGACCUCAAAUCAGGUAGGACUACCCGCUGAACUUAAGCAUAUCAAUAAGCGGAGGAAAAGAAACUAACAAGGAUUCCCCUAGUAACUGCGAGUGAAGCGGGAAAAGCUCAAAUUUAAAAUCUGGCGGUCUUUUGGCUGUCCGAGUUGUAAUCUAGAGAAGUGUUAUCCGCGCUGGACCGUGUACAAGUCUCCUGGAAUGGAGCAUCAUAGAGGGUGAGAAUCCCGUCUUUGACAUGGACUGCCAGGGCUUUGUGAUGCGCUCUCAAAGAGUCGAGUUGUUUGGGAAUGCAGCUCAAAAUGGGUGGUAAAUUCCAUCUAAAGCUAAAUAUUGGCGAGAGACCGAUAGCGAACAAGUACCGUGAGGGAAAGAUGAAAAGAACUUUGGAAAGAGAGUUAAACAGUACGUGAAAAUGCUGAAAG
rnacentral:rRNA from 1 species